rnacentral:rRNA from 1 species
UACGUAGGGCGCAAGCGUUGUCCGGAAUUAUUGGGCGUAAAGAGCUCGUAGGCGGCUUGUCACGUCGGGUGUGAAAGCCCGGGGCUUAACCCCGGGUCUGCAUUCGAUACGGGCUAGCUAGAGUGUGGUAGGGGAGAUCGGAAUUCCUGGUGUAGCGGUGAAAUGCGCAGAUAUCAGGAGGAACACCGGUGGCGAAGGCGGAUCUCUGGGCCAUUACUGACGCUGAGGAGCGAAGGCGUGGGGAGCGAACAGG